GACGAACGCUGGCGGCGUGCUUAACACAUGCAAGUCGAACGGAAAGGCCCUGCUCUUGUGGGGUGCUCGAGUGGCGAACGGGUGAGUAACACGUGAGUAACCUGCCCUUGACUUUGGGAUAACUUCAGGAAACUGGGGCUAAUACCGGAUAGGAGCUCCUGCUGCAUGGUGGGGGUUGGAAAGUUUCGGCGGUUGUGGAUGGACUCGCGGCUUAUCAGCUUGUUGGUGGGGUAGUGGCUUACCAAGGCUUUGACGGGUAGCCGGCCUGAGAGGGUGACCGGCGACAUUGGGACUGAGAUACGGCCCAGACGCCUACGGGAGGCAGCAGGGGGGAGUAUUGCAGAAUGGGCGGAAGUCUGAGGCAGCGACGCCGCGUGCGUGAUGACGGCCUUCGGGUUGUAAACCGCUUUCGCCUGUGACAAAGCGUGAGUGACGGUAAUGGGUAAAGAAGCACCGGCUAACUACGUG
rnacentral:rRNA from 1 species